rnacentral:rRNA from 1 species
GAUGAACGCUGGCGGCGUGCCUAAUACAUGCAAGUCGAGCGAACAGACGAGGAGCUUGCUCCUCUGACGUUAGCGGCGGACGGGUGAGUAACACGUGGAUAACCUACCUAUAAGACUGGGAUAACUUCGGGAAACCGGAGCUAAUACCGGAUAAUAUAUUGAACCGCAUGGUUCAAUAGUGAAAGACGGUUUUGCUGUCACUUAUAGAUGGAUCCGCGCCGCAUUAGCUAGUUGGUAAGGUAACGGCUUACCAAGGCGACGAUGCGUAGCCGACCUGAGAGGGUGAUCGGCCACACUGGAACUGAGACACGGUCCAGACUCCUAAGGGAGGCAGCAGUAGGGAAUCUUCCGCAAUGGGCGAAAGCCUGAAGGAGCAACGCCGCGUGAGUGAUGAAGGUCUUCGGAUCGUAAAACUCUGUUAUUAGGGAAGAACAAAUGUGUAAGUAACUAUGCACGUCUUGACGGUACCUAAUCAGAAAGCCACGGAUAACUACGUG